CGUCUGUCUUGAGUCUAGGACAGAAAAUACUUUCCAUCUUUCUUACCUGGUUUUACCUUGAGUAGUCUAGACUUGCAUCGCUAUUACUUUAUCCAAAAUAAUAUUGUAAACAUUAUUUAGUUUACGGUUUUGUUGUAAAGCAAAUGGGACCAUUUUUUUCUCAUUAGUUUUUUUUUUUUUUCCUUAAAAGGUUAAAAGAGUUAAUUUGUGUGUUGAUUGCUUGACUUUUAGUCGAAACUAGUCAAUCUAUAGAAUAGACAUGAAACUGAAAAAGUACCAAAACAAACCACUUAAAAAGAAUUCUUUUUCGAAGGUCAGUGCCUUCUUUCCCAAAGAUGCCCAUCCAGGGAGGCAGGAAGCAGACGAUCCGAUUACUAAAGAUUGCGGCAGUUUUACACUCCCCCCUAUCGUAAAUUUUGGAGAUUGGGGGUCGGCUUCUUUUUCCCAAUGCCCCACAACCAAUUAGAGAAGUUGGAAAACAAGGAUGCUACUGCUAACACUUGGUAAAUAGAAGAAAAGAUAAAAUGUUGAUUUUUCUCAGAAAACGAAAAAUAUUUCAUUUCACUUUUUUUUGUGCAGUGUAUUUUCUUAAAUUACACAAGACUUUAUUUUAGUUUAAUAAACAGCAUUACUUACCUACCAA